GAGUCCGAAGUUGCUGCUGCUGGGAGCUUGAGCUGAGAUGGACUGGUCUUCAUGGGCGCCCAAGGCGCUGGGUGCAGCUUUCCCCGAGACCCCCAGAUGGAAAGGAGGGAAGGAGGAACCCCACACACUCGCCUUUUGCGAGAAGAUCGGCGCGCACCCCAGAGUGCCCCAAGCCUUUGGAAUCUGCCUGCUGAGCGGAGCGCGCGAGCGUGGUGGACAGGUCCCGAACUUGGCCAGCGGGCUUUCUUGGCAACUUGCUUUGCGCAGUUCUCCAUGGAACCCUGGACCCACUGUGCUCCCGGCGCCUUGCCUUUUUUUUUCUUUUUCUUUCUCUCACUGUCUCUUUUUAAAUUUAUGAACUCGAAAUGAAGCGGAAAGCAGAUAUGCGCGUCAGCAUACUUUGGCGGGAUGCUGGCCCACCACUAGUAUUCUCUGGUGCUCGUUGUGCUUUGGGAGAUCUUCUAUGCAACAUGGAAACCAUGAAUUGUACCACAGAGGGAGAUCUUCUGUCCCACUAGGAAACUGCGAAUUGUACCACAGAGGGAGAUCUUCUAUGCAACAUGGAGACCAUGAAUGGUACACACAGAGAGAGAUCUUCUAUCCACAUGGACACCAUGAAUUGUACCACAGAGGCAGAUGUUCUAUCCAACAUGGAAACCAUGAACUGUACACACAGAGGGGGAUAUUCCAUCCAACAUAGGAACCAUGAACUGUACACACAGAGGGAGAUCUUCUAUCCAACAUGGAGACCAUGAAUUUUACCACAAAGGAAGAUGUUCUAUCCAAAAUGGAAACCAUGAGUUGUAUGCCUAGAGGGAGAUCUUCUAUCCAAUAUGUAAGCCACGAGUUGGACACACAGAGAGAGAUAUUUUAUCCAACUUGGAAACCAUGAAUUGUACACAC
rnacentral:lncRNA from 1 species